GAUCAGCCAUGCCGCGUGUGUGAAGAAGGCCUUCUUGGUUGUAAAGCACUUUAAGCAGUGAGAAGACUCCAUGGUUAAUACCCUUGGACGAUGACAUUACCUGCAGAAUAAGCACCGGCUAACUCUGUGCCAGCAGCCGCGGUAAUACAGAGGGUGCAAGCGUUAAUCGGAAUUACUGGGCGUAAAGCGAGCGCAGGUGGCUUGAUAAGUCAGAUGUGAAAUCCCCGGGCUUAACCUGGGAACGGCAUCUGAUACUGUUAGGCUAGAGUAUGUGAGAGGAAGGUAGAAUUCCAGGUGUAGCGGUGAAAUGCGUAGAGAUCUGGAGGAAUACCGAUGGCGAAGGCAGCCUUCUGGAAUCAUACUGACGCUGAGGUUCGAAAGCGUGGGUAGCAAACAGGAUUAGAUACCCUGGUAGUCCACGCCGUAAACGAUGUCUACUAGUCGUUGGGUCCCUUGAGGACUUACUGACGCAGCUAACGCAAUAAGUAGACCGCCUGGGGAGUACGGCCGCAAGGUUAAAACUCAAAUGAAUUGACGGGGGCCCGCACAAGCGGUGGAGCAUGUGGUUUAAUUCGAUGCAACGCGAAGAACCUUACCUGGUCUUGACAUAUCUAGAAUCCUGCAGAGAUGCGGGAGUGCCUUCGGGAAUUAUAAUACAGGUGCUGCAUGGCUGUCGUCAGCUCGUGUCGUGAGAUGUUGGGUUAAGUCCCGCAACGAGCGCAACCCUUGUCCUUAGUUACCAGCGGUUUGGCCGGGAACUCUAAGGAUACUGCCAGUGACAAACUGGAGGAAGGCGGGGACGACGUCAAGUCAUCAUGGCCCUUACGACCAGGGCUACACACGUGCUACAAUGGUACGUACAGAGGGCAGCUACACAGCGAUGUGAUGCGAAUCUCAAAAGCCUAUCGUAGUCCAGAUUGGAGUCUGCAACUCGACUCCAUGAAGUAGGAAUCGCUAGUAAUCGCGGAUCAGAAUGCCGCGGUGAAUACGUUCCCGGGCCUUGUACACACCGCCCGUCACACCAUGGGAGUUGAUUGCACCAGAAGUGGGUA
rnacentral:rRNA from 1 species